ACGGGUGCGUAACGCGUGGGAAUCUGCCUUGGGGUUCGGAAUAACUCCCCGAAAGGGGUGCUAAUACCGGAUGAUGUCGAAAGACCAAAGAUUUAUCGCCCUGAGAUGAGCCCGCGUAGGAUUAGCUAGUUGGUGUGGUAAAGGCGCACCAAGGCGACGAUCCUUAGCUGGUCUGAGAGGAUGAUCAGCCACACUGGGACUGAGACACGGCCCAGACUCCUACGGGAGGCAGCAGUGGGGAAUAUUGGACAAUGGGCGAAAGCCUGAUCCAGCAGUGUCGCGUGAGUGAUGAAGGCCUUAGGGUUGUAAAGCUCUUUUACCCGGGAAGAUAAUGACUGUACCGGGAGAAUAAGCCCCGGCUAACUCCGUGCCAGCAGCCGCGGUAAUACGGAGGGGGCUAGCGUUGUUCGGAAUUACUGGGCGUAAAGCGCACGUAGGCGGCCUUGUAAGUCAGAGGUGAAAGCCUGGAGCUCAACUCCAGAACUGCCUUUGAGACUGCAUCGCUUGAAUCCAGGAGAGGUGAGUGGAAUUCCGAGUGUAGAGGUGAAAUUCGUAGA
rnacentral:rRNA from 1 species